rnacentral:ncRNA from 1 species
CUCAUGGAGUGUUCGAUCCUGGUUCAAGAUUAAUGUUGUCGGCAUUUACACAUGCAAGUCGAAGUGGUGUUUCCAAUGGUGGACCGGUGAGUAACGCGUAAAAACCUACCCUGGGAAGGAGAACAACAACUGGAUUUGGCUGCUAAUACCCUGUAGGCUGAGGAGCAAAAGAAGGAAUCCGCCCAAUGAGGAACUUGGGUCUGAUUAACUAGUUCGUGAGACAAAAGCUUACCAAUGGUCCGAGCAGAUGAUUGGUCCGAGAGAAUGAUUAGCCACACUGGCAUUGAGACAUGGCUCAAACCCUUACAGGCGGCAACAGUGGGAAAUUUUCUGCAAUGGGCAAAAGCCUGACGGAGUUAUGGGUCAUGAAUUUCUUUUUUUAGAAAAGAAACAAUGAUGGUAUCCAAGGAAUAUGCAUUGGCUAGGUAAGACAGAAUGUAAACUUUAUCCGAAAUGAUUGGGCUGGGUAAGACUGAGGAUACAAGCGAACUGAUUGGGCAAAAUGCCUUUGUAUGGGCAAUUGUUUU